rnacentral:rRNA from 1 species
AACGCUGGCGGCGUGCCUAAUACAUGCAAGUCGAGCGAAUGGAUUAAGAGCUUGCUCUUAUGAAGUUAGCGGCGGACGGGUGAGUAACACGUGGGUAACCUGCCCAUAAGACUGGGAUAACUCCGGGAAACCGGGGCUAAUACCGGAUAACAUUUUGAACCGCAUGGUUCGAAAUUGAAAGGCGGCUUCGGCUGUCACUUAUGGAUGGACCCGCGUCGCAUUAGCUAGUUGGUGAGGUNACGGCUCACCAAGGCAACGAUGCGUAGCCGACCUGAGAGGGUGAUCGGCCACACUGGGACUGAGACACGGCCCAGACUCCUACGGGAGGCAGCAGUAGGGAAUCUUCCGC